CACGUAGGGGGCGAGCGUUGUCCGGAUUUAUUGGGCGUAAAGAGCUCGUAGGCGGCUCGGUAAGUCAGGUGUGAAAACUCUAGGCUCAACCUAGAGACGCCACCUGAUACUGCUGUGGCUAGAGUCCGGUAGGGGAGCAUGGAAUUCCUGGUGUAGCGGUGAAAUGCGCAGAUAUCAGGAGGAACACCGGUGGCGAAGGCGGGUCUCUGGGCAGUAACUGACGCUGAGGAGCGAAAGCGUGGGGAGCGAACAGG
rnacentral:rRNA from 1 species